rnacentral:rRNA from 2 species
ACUCUCAACAACGGAUAUCUUGGCUCCCGUAACGAUGAAGAACGCAGCGAAAUGCGAUACGUAGUGUGAAUUGCAGAAUUCCGUGAACCAUCGAAUCUUUGAACGCAAAUUGCGCUCGAGGCUUCGGCCAAGAGCAUGUCUGCCUCAGCGUC